GUUCCGGUAAAAAUCGAGUUGAAUGAAUCGCCACAGCCCCAACGUAUAUCGCGCAGUGUUGACCAAGACCAAGUCCAGCAGGAAUUCUGGCAUGGUAUGUGGCUGCACGGAGGAUUCCGAAAAAGAAAAACAACAACAUGGCUAAUAGGAUGUUGCUGCCCAGGGAGUCCUGGCCGAAGAGGUUUACUCAUUCCAGAAGCAAGAAUUGUACAAUUGUAAGGCGAAUGGAAAUAAAUUGACAUCGACUGA